GGGGGUCUCUGGGCCUGAGACUUAGGGGGACAGUGGCUGCCAGACGCCGGGUAUAUGAGGCAGGGUGAUAUUCUGGGCCUGAUCGUGUGACCCCAGGUAUUCGGUGGACAAGGGUGUGGGUGACUACAUGUGUAAAGGAUUCUGGGGUGUGUGUGUGUGUGUGUGUAACUAGGUAACACUGUGUCAGUGUGAGUGCAAGUGUGUCAUUGGGCUUUGUGUUCCCAUCAGACAAUGCUGUUGGGUUCUCGAGUAUGCUCUGUGCCUUUCUGGUCUCAUUUCCCCAACACAGGGGUGGACCCAGAGGUGGCUUCCAGGAGACUUACAGACCAUCAGAGCUGGAAGGAGGCCAAGACAAAACAGUCCAAACCCCUCACUUCACGUAUUUGGAAACUGAGGCUCAGCUGUGUGUAGAAAGGGGUUUGUGAACAAUAAAAACACAGUCAAAUUCAUGCAGAGAUAGAUCUCAGAGUAGGAGAGACCUGUAAGUAAUCCAUGAUUGCUUCUCACCCCCUCUGGGAAUCCCCUCAAUAAUGUGCCUGGUAGGGUCAUUCCUUCUCUCCUACUCACUGGACAGAGUAGGGAUUUAAAUUUCAUCCACUCUGAGUUGCCUCAGCAUCCCAGUCUGUUAACAGUUUCUGUUUCAUCCCUGCUGAGAAUUCACAGGCACGUAGGAGGGUGUGAAUAUGGAUAAAAAAGCAACAUCACCAGCAAGUUUUGGAGACUCAGUCCAUCAUCUGCAAAAUCCCCUACAUUCUUAGACUUCUCGGCUCCUUCCCUUUCUCUUCUCUCAGGAAACGAGACACCACUCAAGAUAUUUCCAGUUUGCCUCCCAGCAAGGUUGUCAUCAGGCUUCAAGGCCACCAGGGCAUGCGAAUGCCUGUUUACUCACGUCCUUGCCGAAAUUGGGUCUUAUCAGACUUUCAAUUUUUUCUAAUCUGUGAAAAUGAUAUCUUGUUCUGAUUUAUACUUUUAAAAUUCUGAGUGAGAUGGAAUAUUAAAAAAUAUUUUUGACAGAUAUGCAUAAUC